AUACGGAGGGUGCAAGCGUUAAUCGGAAUUACUGGGCGUAAAGGGUUCGUAGGCGGUUAUUUAAGUCAGAUGUGAAAGCCCCGGGCUCAACCUGGGAAUUGCAUCUGAUACUGGGUAACUAGAGUUUAAGAGAGGAGUGUGGAAUUUCCGGUGUAGCGGUGAAAUGCAUAGAGAUCGGAAGGAACAUCAGUGGCGAAGGCGGCACUCUGGCUUAAAACUGACGCUGAGGAACGAAAGCGUGGGUAGCAAACAGGAUUAGAUACCCUAGUAGUCC
rnacentral:rRNA from 1 species